rnacentral:rRNA from 1 species
AGAGUUUGAUCCUGGCUCAGAAUCAACGCUGGCGUAUGUGCCUCAGACAUGCAAGUCGAACGCGAAAGUUCCUUCGGGAACAAGUCAGCAGUGGCGCACGGGUGAGUAACACGUAGGUAAUCUACCUUUGAGUGGGGAAUAACUUAGGGAAACUUAAGCUAAUACGCGCAUAAUGCAGCGGCUCGACAUCNAGACAGUUGUUAAAGGAGCAAUCCGCUUGAAGAGGAGCCUGCGGCAGAUUAGCUUGUUGGUAAGGUAACGGCUUACCAAGGCGACGAUCUGUAACCGACCUGANAGGGUGGUCGGUCACACUGACACUGAAUAACC